UACGUAGGGUGCGAGCGUUGUCCGGAAUUAUUGGGCGUAAAGAGCUCGUAGGCGGUUUGUCGCGUCGGCUGUGAAACCUUGGGGCUCAACCCCAAGCCUGCAGUCGAUACGGGCAGACUAGAGUGCGGUAGGGGAGACUGGAAUUCCUGGUGUAGCGGUGAAAUGCGCAGAUAUCAGGAGGAACACCGGUGGCGAAGGCGGGUCUCUGGGCCGUAACUGACGCUGAGGAGCGAAAGCGUGGGGAGCGAACAGG
rnacentral:rRNA from 1 species